rnacentral:rRNA from 1 species
UAAGCCGGUCAUAGCGUUGGGGUGCGACCUAGUCCCAUUCCGAACCUAGAAGUCAAACCCAAUGUCGCUACCGUGUUACUGACGUGCGAGAGCUGUUGGGAAGUGGUAGUGCUGGCAUCU